rnacentral:rRNA from 1 species
AUUGAACGCUGGCGGCAGGCUUAACACAUGCAAGUCGAGCGGGGGAAGGUAGCUUGCUACCGGACCUAGCGGCGGACGGGUGAGUAAUGCUUAGGAAUCUGCCUAUUAGUGGGGGACAACAUCUCGAAAGGGAUGCUAAUACCGCAUACGUCCUACGGGAGAAAGCAGGGGAUCUUCGGACCUUGCGCUAAUAGAUGAGCCUAAGUCGGAUUAGCGAGUUGGUGGGGUAAAGGCCUACCAAGGCGACGAUCUGUAGCGGGUCUGAGCGGAUGAUCCGCCACUCUGGGACUGAGACACGGCCCAGACUCCUACGGGAGGCAGCAGUGGGGAAUAUUGGACAAUGGGGGGAACCCUGAUCCAGCCAUGCCGCGUGUGUGAAGAAGGCCUUAUGGUUGUAAAGCACUUUAAGCGAGGAGGAGGCUACUCUAGUUAAUACCUAGGGAUAGUGGACGUUACUCGCAGAAUAAGCACCGGCUAACUCUGUGCCAGCCGCCGCGGUAA